rnacentral:rRNA from 1 species
AGAGUUUGAUCCUGGCUCAGGAUGAACGCUGGCGGCGUGCCUAAUACAUGCAAGUCGAGCGAACGGACGAGAAGUUUGCUUCUCUGAUGUUAGCGGCGGACGGGUGAGUAACACGUGGAUAACCUACCUAUAAGACUGGGAUAACUUCGGGAAACCGGAGCUAAUACCGGAUAAUAUUUUGAACCGCAUGGUUCAAAAGUGAAAGACGGUCUUGCUGUCACUUAUAGAUGGAUCCGCGCUGCAUUAGCUAGUUGGUAAGGUAACGGCUUACCAAGGCAACGAUGCAUAGCCGACCUGAGAGGGUGAUCGGCCACACUGGAACUGAGACACGGUCCAGACUCCUACGGGAGGCAGCAGUAGGGAAUCUUCCGCAAUGGGCGAAAGCCUGACGGAGCAACGCCGCGUGAGUGAUGAAGGUCUUCGGAUCGUAAAACUCUGUUAUUAGGGAAGAACAUAUGUGUAAGUAACUGUGCACAUCUUGACGGUACCUAAUCAGAAAGCCACGGCUAACUACGUGCCAGCAGCCGCGGUAAUACGUAGGUGGCAAGCGUUAUCCGGAAUUAUUGGGCGUAAAGCGCGCGUAGGCGGUUUUUUAAGUCUGAUGUGAAAGCCCACGGCUCAACCGUGGAGGGUCAUUGGAAACUGGAAAACUUGAGUGCAGAAGAGGAAAGUGGAAUUCCAUGUGUAGCGGUGAAAUGCGCAGAGAUAUGGAGGAACACCAGUGGCGAAGGCGACUUUCUGGUCUGUAACUGACGCUGAUGUGCGAAAGCGUGGGGAUCAAACAGGAUUAGAUACCCUGGUAGUCCACGCCGUAAACGAUGAGUGCUAAGUGUUAGGGGGUUUCCGCCCCUUAGUGCUGCAGCUAACGCAUUAAGCACUCCGCCUGGGGAGUACGACCGCAAGGUUGAAACUCAAAGGAAUUGACGGGGACCCGCACAAGCGGUGGAGCAUGUGGUUUAAUUCGAAGCAACGCGAAGAACCUUACCAAAUCUUGACAUCCUUUGACAACUCUAGAGAUAGAGCUUUCCCCUUCGGGGGACAAAGUGACAGGUGGUGCAUGGUUGUCGUCAGCUCGUGUCGUGAGAUGUUGGGUUAAGUCCCGCAACGAGCGCAACCCUUAAGCUUAGUUGCCAUCAUUAAGUUGGGCACUCUAAGUUGACUGCCGGUGACAAACCGGAGGAAGGUGGGGAUGACGUCAAAUCAUCAUGCCCCUUAUGAUUUGGGCUACACACGUGCUACAAUGGACAAUACAAAGGGCAGCGAAACCGUGAGGUCAAGCAAAUCCCAUAAAGUUGUUCUCAGUUCGGAUUGUAGUCUGCAACUCGACUACAUGAAGCUGGAAUCGCUAGUAAUCGUAGAUCAGCAUGCUACGGUGAAUACGUUCCCGGGUCUUGUACACAC